UGCCUUUUGCAUYAUGCUUAGAUGAGUUAUAUGAAAUAAUUAUUCUUUUACCGAAAUUCUGGAUUUCUUUUAUAAUUGCUUAGGGCAGUGACUUGAGUAAAGGGUUUUAAAAUUAUAAAAGUGAUGUGAUAAAUUAAACGUCAGGAUUUAUAACUGUUUAACAACUUAGUAAUUUUGAAUCAUCAUAAUGGUUAUGAGAUCAUUAUGACUAAUAUAUUUAGUAUUUUUUGUUUUUAUAAUAGGGUUAGGAGUACCCAUUUAUUUUAACAUUGUUCAAAAGUUAGAUAAUACUUGUAUAAAUUAUAGUUCAAGGUUGUUUAAUUAAAUUAUUAGUAUUUAAGAAUAUCUAAAUAAGUAAUAAUAAAAAAAUAAUUAUUUCUCAAGUAUUAUCCGUCUGUUUAUUAAAAACAUUUCCAUAUAAUAAUUUUUAUGGUAGUACCUGCUCUAUGCAUUAUAUUGUAAAUGGCCGCAGUAUCUUGACUGUGCGAAGGUAGCAUAAUUAAUUGCCUUAUAAUUGAAGGCUUGUUUGAAUGGUUUGACGAGAUAAUUACAAAUAUUUAUUUUUUAGUUGAAAUUAGUAUGGAGUGUACAGAACCCUCCUUAAAUUAAUUAGACGGAAAGACCCCAGGAUCUUUUAUUUUUGUCUGGGGCAGAUGAGGAUUUUUUAUCCUUAUUAUGACCCUUUUUGGUUUAGUGGUUUAAGUUACCCUGGGGAUAACAGUGUAAUAGUUUAUUAGAGAUCUUAUCGAAUAAAUUGUUUGCUACCUCGAUGUUGACUUAGGUAGAUAGGCUAGGCGCAGUAGUUUAGUUUUUUGGUCUGUUCGACCUUAAAUACCUCCAUGAGUUGAGUUAAGACCGGUGUGAGCCAGGUCGGUUCUUAUCUAUU
rnacentral:rRNA from 1 species